AUUCAGCUGAUGAGCUCCAAAUAGGACGAAACAGACGUCCUAGAU
rfam:Schistosoma curassoni strain Dakar, Senegal genome assembly, scaffold: SCTD_scaffold0000095